CCUACGGGCGGCAGCAGUGGGGAAUAUUGCGCAAUGGGCGAAAGCCUGACGCAGCGACGCCGCGUGAGGGAUGAAGGUCUUCGGAUCGUAAACCUCUGUCAGCAGGGAAGAACGGUCACUGUGCUAAUCAGCAGUGAAUUGACGGUACCUGCAAAGGAAGCACCGGCUAACUCCGUGCCAGCAGCCGCGGUAAUACGGAGGGUGCGAGCGUUAAUCGGAAUUAUUGGGCGUAAAGCGCUCGUAGGCGGUAUGUCAAGUCAAGGGUGAAAUCCCCGGGCUCAACGGGGGAACUGCCUUUGAAACUGGCAAACUUGAGUGUGGUAGAGGUGAGUGGAAUUCCAGGUGUAGCAGUGAAAUGCGUAGAUAUCUGGAGGAACAUCAGUGGCGAAGGCGGCUAUCUGGCACAUAACUGACGCUGAGGCGCGAAAGCGUGGGUAGCAAACAGGAUUAGAUACCCGAGUAGUC
rnacentral:rRNA from 1 species